GUCUUAUUGAAAAUAAUUUUAAGUCAAUCUGCCCAAUGAAAUAUUUUAAUGGCUGCAGUAUAAUUGACUGUACAAAGGUAGCAUAAUCAAUUGAUUUUUAAAUGAAAUCUAGAAUGAAAGAAUUAAUGAAAUAUAUACUGUCUCAUAUUUAUUUUAUAAAUUUAAAAUUUUAAUAAAAAUGUUAAAAUUUAUUUAUGGGACGAUAAGACCCUAUAGAAUUUUAUAUUAUAUUAAUUUUAUAAUUAAUAUAAAAUUUAAUUUAAUAUUUAAUUGGGAGAAUUAUUAAAUUUAAUAAAUUUUAAUAAAUGUAAACUUUAAUUUAAGAAUAUAUUUUGAUCAUUAAUUUAAAAUUAUUAGAAUAAAUUACCUUAGGGAUAACAGCGUUAUAUUUUUUUAUAGAUCUUAUAGAAAAAAAUGAUUGCGACCUCGAUGUUGAAUUAAGAUAAAUUUUAAAUGUAGAAGUUUAAUAAUUAAGUCUGUUCGACUUUUAAAAUCUUACAUGAUUUGAGUUCAAAUCGACGUAAGU
rnacentral:rRNA from 1 species